GUGAAUCAUCAAAUUUUUGAACGCAAAUUGCGCUUUUUGCGGAUGGCAUGUCUGUUUCAGGGCACCAUUUAACAAAUAAUGUGCAUUUUUAUGUGGACACGUUGAUGAGCUUUCCAAAAUUAUGUGUUAUUAUUUUUGGUUGCGCAUAAUAAACAGCGCGAUUCUUUUUUUCAGUUCUAGUGUAG
rnacentral:misc_RNA from 1 species